rnacentral:rRNA from 1 species
UAAUACGUAGGUGGCAAGCGUUAUCCGGAAUUACUGGGCGUAAAGCGCACGCAGGCGGUCUUGUAAGUUUGACGUGAAAGCUCCCGGCUUAACUGGGAGAGGUCGUUGAAUACUGCGAGACUUGAGUUUAGGAGAGGGGUGUAGAAUUCCCGGUGUAGUGGUGGAAUGCGUAGAUAUCGGGGGGAAUACCAGUGGCGAAAGCGGCACCCUAGCCUUUGACUGACGCUCAUGUGCGAAAGCGUGGGGAGCGAACGGG